CCAUGGAUGGCGUGUUGGAAGAAGCAGCAGUGUUGUGCGUGUGCAAAGUGGCCUCCAGUCUCCUCUUCCUGCCCUCGCUGGCCGCCUCAUACAGUCCCGUCAGCUUCUGCUGCUGCUGCCUGCUGGUCUUCACCGACUUCCUGGUCGCAGCUUUUUUGAGCUUCCUUUGCAUCUCUGAUUCCUGGCCGACCGAGCUGACUCCAGCGGUCGACGUCGUCUCCCUCCGCUUCCUGAUCUUUCUCAGCCACACGUACGGUGCGGUGUUGCUCCUCACCACGCCUCUGAUCGCACUGGAGACUCUGACCGCACUGCUGCGGCCUCGCUGGGGCUCCGGCGGACACCUCUGCUGCGUUGGGGCGGAAGCCGCGGAAGACGAGGACGGCGAAGACGGCACCGACAAAGAAAAGGGGUCGUCCCGUCACGCCGUUGGCUACCUCUGCUGCCUGUCUGUGUGGGUCAUCGUCGCCCUCGAUGUGAGGUGGCGAUGGAAGCGGGAGGAGACCUGGGCCACCGCCUGCUUGCACACGACCAACUCCCUCAUCAGGUGCUUGCCCAACCUGUUCAGCCCCACGUCCGGCGCCGUGAAUCCCUGCUGGGGCAUGGGCUUCCUCUCCCUCCUCCUGCUCCUCCUCACAGCGAGCACCGGUCUGCGCCGUCGACCGGGGGACCCUGCACAUACGGCAAGGACCCACGAAGACAAACGGGGGGGCAACAGCGACGGUUGCUGGCGAGGCCUCGCUCCGGCGCUUCCCGGGCCCUCGGAGGCCGUGGAGUCGGAGGCAGCGCGUCGUGUUGACCCUGGGAAAACAGAGAGCAGCUGCGCGGUUCACAGAGCGUAUUCCUGGAGCGGCGCGCAGAUGUCGGCGCAUCACCAUGGAGCCUUUGUUCUCGUCUCCCCUGCAUGUUUGUGUGCGGAGAGGCGAGGGCAGGAGCACGAACGGACCAAGAAGCGUCCACCUCCGACGCUCGUCGCGGAGGACGUGGACGCACAGAACGGGAGCCAAAGUGGGUGGCGGCAGGGCGGGUUUCCCUGCCAGGGGGUGGAUGUAUUGAUGGGGUCCGUGGCUGUGCUCUCCAUCUUUGUGCUGCCCCUGAACCUCAGCGUGAACAUUCUUCUGAUCAGGACUAUAGAGACUCUGCUGGUGCUGUGUGUUAAAUCUUUAGUUUCACCCGCCGCAAACACAAGCGAUGCGUGCAGCCCUCACGAUGAGACGCUUGUAUAA
ensembl:lncRNA